GUCUGCAAACUUCUGCCCAGCUUUUAUUUACCCUAAGGGGAGAAUCACGCGAUGAGAGCGUCUCUUCUUGAAGGGAGAAAUGAAAAUACCCGGAAAAAAGACCUCUUACCCACCCCAAAGGCUGGAUUUACUCAUCCUGAGGAAAAUUUCUAAACAAACAAACAAAACAACCAAACAUGAUUUCCAGGGUGGAGCUAUCUCUGAGGGUCUUUCUACCAGACUAUGGGAAGGUCAAGAACAGGCAAAACAGAAGUGACAGAAGUGACAGAAGUCAGAACAGUGGCUACGUUUGAGUAUGGACUGGGAGCCUCAUCUUGAUCCAGGUGAUGGUUAUAUG